AUUAUUUUGUGACUGAGUGGCGGACGGGUGAGUAACGCGUGGGUAACCUGCCUUGUACAGGGGGAUAACAGUUGGAAACGGCUGCUAAUACCGCAUAAGCGCACAGCAUCGCAUGAUGCAGUGUGAAAAACUCCGGUGGUAUAAGAUGGACCCGCGUUGGAUUAGCUAGUUGGUGAGGUAACGGCCCACCAAGGCGACGAUCCAUAGCCGACCUGAGAGGGUGACCGGCCACAUUGGGACUGAGACACGGCCCAAACUCCUACGGGAGGCAGCAGUGGGGAAUAUUGCACAAUGGGCGAAAGCCUGAUGCAGCGACGCCGCGUGAGCGAAGAAGUAUUUCGGUAUGUAAAGCUCUAUCAGCAGGGAAGAUAAUGACGGUACCUGACUAAGAAGCACCGGCUAAAUACGUGCCAGCAGCCGCGGUAAUACGUAUGGUGCAAGCGUUAUCCGGAUUUACUGGGUGUAAAGGGAGCGCAGGCGGUGCGGCAAGUCUGAUGUGAAAGCCCGGGGCUCAACCCCGGUACUGCAUUGGAAACUGUCGUACUAGAGUGUCGGAGGGGUAAGCGGAAUUCCUAGUGUAGCGGUGAAAUGCGUAGAUAUUAGGAGGAA
rnacentral:rRNA from 1 species